ensembl:lncRNA
AUGUUUAGCAUUCAAUCUUUUAUCAACACACACUCGCUCUCUCCCACACACACACACACUCUCUCUCUCUGUCACAAACACUCGCUCUCACACACACACACACACGCUCUCUCUCGGUCACACAUACACACACUCACACACACACACAAACUCUCUUGCUCUCUCUCUCUCACACACACACACACGGUCACUCUCUCUCACACACACACUCUCUCUCUCUCUCUCACACUCACACACACUCACACGCUCACACACACACUCACACUCUCUCUCUCACACACGCACGCUCUCUCUCACACACGCACUCUCUCUCUCACACACGCACUCUCUCUCUCACACACAUACACUCACCCUCUCCCUCACACACACUCUCUUUCUCUCACACACACACAAACCCUCUCACACACACACACACACGCCCUCUCACACACACACACACACACUCACCCUCUCUCUCACACACCCACACACACACACACACUCUCCCACACACACACACACACACCCCCGCACACACACGCACACACACACACACACACACCCUCACACACUCUCACACACACACACACACACACUCGCCCACACACACACACACACACUCACCCACACACACACACACACCCACACACACACACACACACCCUCACACACUCUCACACACACACACACACUCACCCACACACACACACACACCCACUCACUCUCUCUCUCCCACACACACUCUCUCUCUCACACACUCUCUUUCUCUCCCACACACACACACUCGCACUCACCCUCACACACACACACACUCUCUCUCACUCUCACACACACACACACACGCCCUCUCACACACACACACACUCACACUCACACUCACACACACACUCACACACACACACUCACACACACACGCACACACACACACUCGCUCUCACACACACACACACACACACUCGCGCUCUCACACUCGCGCUCUCACACACACUCGCUCACACACACACACACACACACUCUCUCUCUCACACACGCACUCUCUCUCUCACACACGCACUCUCUCUCUCACACACGCACUCUCUCUCUCACACACAUACACUCACACUCUCUCUCACACACACUCUCUUUCUCUCACACACACACAAACUCUCUCACACACACACACACUCUCAUUCCUCACACACACACGACACACACACACACACACACUCACUCUUUCUCACACUCUGCUCUGGGAGAUUCAUUGGCGUGUGGGAGCGUUUAAUUCCAGGAAUGCUGUUGCGUCCACUUCUCCGUGUCAGAACAAAGCUUUGCUCAUCACUCACUGGAUCUGUAACGCAUAUAUUCCCCGACAGAGCGUCUGAAGCAGAUCUGAGAGCAGAACGCAGCCGUCCCAUGAUGCACCUGUGUCCAGCGCUUCGGUAUCUGAGGUGA